GGGGGCGUAAGGUUUCGACGGAGGUUAUGAGGCUCAGGUUGCAUGCCGUGGCUCCAUCAGCACGUAAAAAGAUGGAAACAAACACAAAAGCCAACAACGAACUGGCACUCGCCGCUUAACUAAAAGCGGCGCGCUCUGCCUCAGGUCGCCUGUGCUUGGGGACGGGGCGUCAAUCAGCAGGCUGGCCCGCCGGGGUUUCUCCUGACCGGAGGGCGAGAUUAAGGGAGAGUGGGCGUCGGAAUGCCAGUCCGCCGGCGGAACGAAUGCCCGAGACUCAAUAAGCGGUCUAAGCAUGUAGAUGCCUGAGAGUAGUACUUCCGGACGCGGGUUCGAUUCCCGCCGCCUCCACCA
rnacentral:tmRNA from 1 species